rnacentral:rRNA from 1 species
CACGGGGGGAGCAAGCGUUGUUCGGAAUCACUGGGCGUAAAGAGCGUGUAGGCGGCCAGACAGGUCCGUUGUGAAAACUCGAGGCUCAACCUCGAGACGCCGAUGGAAACCGUCUGGCUAGAGUCCGGAAGAGGAGAGUGGAAUUCCUGGUGUAGCGGUGAAAUGCGCAGAUAUCAGGAAGAACACCCGUGGCUAAGGCGGCUCUCUAGUACGGUACUGACGCUGAGACGCGAAAGCGUGGGGGAGCGAACAGG